GCCCUCGCUUCUGCUUUUUCCUGUCUGGCCCUGUGGUUUUUUUUUCUGUGCGAACCCCUGGUUCUGCUACGCAGUGGCCCUGAGGCCUUCGCUCUUGAAUCUCCCAAACCGUGACAUCAUUCUCCUUUAGGGAUAGGAGCGUUGUCAUAAAAUAGAGUCAUUUGUGUCAAACCUAACAAGAACAACAAAAAGAAUAAAAAAAGCCAGGAGGCUAUAAAAGGAAAGUUCCCACAGAUGAUUGCCUGGUGACAAGAGAUUCUGCCGGAAUCCCAGGCUUGCACAAAGGUGGGCACAGCCUUUCACAGAAAGCCCCUCCAUAAGGACAUUUGCCAGCAACUGUGUGUUCAUCCUCGGACUGACAUCGCCCUCAUUGCUAAUUUCAGGUAGUAACACAAUCUGAACUGGAAGACUGAUCUGGCCCUGUAACCCUGAAGCGAUGACAGAGCGAGUGCAGAGGAAGGACUGUGCCUCUGUGUGCCGGGGUGCUACUCAGCUGGCCUGGUAGGGUGGCAGCUCAUGCACCCCCUCAUCCCCUGGGGCUGUGCACACCUGUUCUCGUGAGUUUUUCACACCCAUGAAGCUCGGAAAGCCCUCACCCGGCACAGUCCGGGCCUCCUUCACAUCCCAAGGAGCAAAGCUUGUGCUCCAACCUCACCGACCUUCACAAGCUAAGCAGCAGCGUGGCUUCCUCUUCCUCUUGCUUUCCGGCUCGGUGAUUUUAGGUUAUGUUUCUGGCUUAGAGUUUUAUUUGUCUGGGACUGUUCUUAAAUCUCCUAAACGAGACAGGAUUGAACAGGCCACGCUUGGAUUCCAGAGAACCCCCAGGACAGGGACAGAGCCAGAGCUGGUAGAGGCACUUGAGUAAGCGGCACUCUGCUCAGGAAGGAAGGCUGGAGGUGACUCUGCAAACAAAUCCGAGACCUCAAAGCCAGAACCCUCAGGCCUGCUACCAGGAAAGGCUGAAGUGUACAGGGGAGGAAUCGAUGUAGAGGUUCAGAGUUCUGCCCUCUUGAUCUUUGAGUCAUUGUGUGCUUAUCGUUCGUUUCUUGGUAAGGUACAGAAUUGUCAUUAAAUCGGGUUUCGGACACAGGCUUGUGCUGAGUUCUCUGUAGGGAGUGUUCCUGGUGAGCUGCCCCAGCAAGUCCCUUCCUCCCAGCCGAAAAUAUUUAAGGCUGGUUAAGUGAUACUAAGAAGAAAGUAAGGAACAGCCUCAAGAGGAAGAUAAGACGUUCCACUGAGGAGUCCAGGGCCGAGCAGCGUGCUCCCAAGCUGCUCCCGGAGUUGAAGGAAUGGAGAAGUGUUAGUCAGCAUUGGGGUGGUUUUAUUUUUUUCCACUGCCCAUCAGCUCAGCUCUUGCCACACCCCCAGUCCUAGGAUCCCAUGGGGUGGAACCUUUCCACGUCCUCAGGGCAUAGGUUAAAGGGACUGGGAAAUUGGAGGCGAGAACUGGCCCACCCACCUCGGGAUCCCCCGGAUCAGAUCCUGUCCUUUCUGACGGGAAGGCAGCCAGCUGGCCCUGGGAGCCAGAGCCCCACGGAAGCCAAGGCAUAGGUCAGCGGGCAAGGGGGACGUGGGUGACGAAUGGUGCGGGUCCAUCACCAGGGCUGGGCAGAUGGAAGCAGUGUGGAGGGCUAUGGUAUCGGGUGCUCCAGAGCAGCGGAGUGGGAUAGAGACACACACUGUGGAGAAUUGUUACGGGCACUGCCUCAUGGCGGCAAGAAGUCCCGUAAUGUGCCCCUGGCUGGUGGGAGAAGCAGGAAGGCAGAUGGUUUAAUUCAGUCCAAAGGCCUAAGAGCCGGGUGCCCAAGGCCCGGGAGUAUAGAAGGUGGGUGUCUUAGGUCAGGGAGAAAGAGCAAGGAUCCCCUCUUCUGUGCUGCUGUCCUGUUCAGAGGCUCCGUGCUGGGCGCUUACCUCCCAGAGGCGUCCUCACAAACACUCCUGAAACUUUUCCAGCUGACGGCGCAUCCCCUCGGCCACUCAUGUCGACCCACAAAAUUAAGUAUCAUGACCCGCAGGAGGUGGUGCACACCUGUAAUCCCUACACGUGGGAGACAGAGGCAGGAGGAUCGCUGCGAACUUGAGACCAGCCUGGGCUACGUAGUGAAUUCAAGGCAAGACUGACCUGGUCAGAAGUUCAGAUCUGAGUGAAUUCUGGGAUGAGCUUGUGGUUGAGGGCCCCUGAGAUGACCCCACACCCUGUCAGUCAUCCCUGUCAACCACACCUGCAGAUUUGGUGGGUAGCACCUACGGUAGAGGUGUCUGACCUGAGUUAUGCGCCCCUUUUUGUUGUGAGGCUGCUUUUGUGUGUUUGACCUGUGUGCAGUGCUUUCGUGUCACCCUAGUACCCUCUCCUGGCCUGUCUCACCUUUGUUGGCAUGGACUGGCCCUGCGCACAACCUCGGGUGACCGU